rnacentral:rRNA from 1 species
CCUUUGCCGGCGACCGGCGCACGGGUGAGUAACACGUAUGCAACCUGCCCUCUUCAGGGGGACAACCUUCCGAAAGGGAGGCUAAUCCCGCGUAUAUCGGUUUCGGGCAUCCGAGAUCGAGGAAAGAUUCAUCGGAAGAGGAUGGGCAUGCGGCGCAUUAGCUAGACGGCGGGGUAACGGCCCACCGUGGCGACGAUGCGUAGGGGUUCUGAGAGGAAGGUCCCCCACACUGGUACUGAGACACGGUCCAAACUCCUACGGGAGGCAGCAG